GCCAGUGUGGCCUAGUGGAUUGAAUACUGGAUUACAACUCUGGAGACAAGGGUUCGAUUUCCAGCUCAGCCA